CGAAAGAGUAUUAGUAUAGAUUUACUUUUUGUUUGGGGAGAUAGGUGAGCUGGAGAAUUUGACCGUUAAAUCAUUCAAGUGUAUUGAUUUGAGAUGUCAAAACCAACAAGUAAUUACAAAAUGGACGGCAAAGAGGACGAAGUAGACUCAUAAUCUAAAUAACAAUAUGGUUCUUGAGGAGUCAUUGCUGUUUUUGCUAAAUAAAAAUGAGAAAUUUACUUUUAUUCAAACACAAAUUUUAAAAAUUCAUUUAAAACUCAUUAUUAUUGAAUUUGACAUUUCAUAAAAUACUCUAAUCUAUUGUUUUUGAAAAUAUUUUAAGUUGUAAAGUUUUAACGUUUUCAAGUGGUUUAAAGUGUUUGGGUGGAGUUUCUUAGUAAAAAAAAAAUAAAAUUAAAAUUUCAUGGUUUUAUGUGAUAUUUUUGAGUUGUUUAAUAAAAUCACUUUUUACUAUUCAAUUCAUUGAAAUUAUUUAAAAUCUCAUUAAAAAUUAAAUCAAGUCAAACUUUACAUUAAAUACACCCCCUAAGCGUCAGGUACUAAUGAUGAUAAAUUUCUUAAAAUAAUAUUUUAAAUUUGUUUUGUAUUUUUUAUCCGAAAAUUAAUUAAUUAUAAAUAAAACCAAUUACAAGAAUAGACGUGUGGAUAUACGAAUAUACCACUUUUACUAAGUUUUCCCCUUCACUUGAUAACUAGAUAAUUAGGCCUGGACAUUUAGUCUAAACCGAAUGAAAAACCAGAAUUGAUGAGUUUGAUUUUAAUUCGGUUAGGAUGGAAGAAAACCAAUCUGCGAGAAUUUUUCAGAACUAUGGCUUCGGUUUGAUUGGCCGAUCGGUUGGUGCUUCUGUGUAUACAUUUUCUUCUUUAAUUUCGGGUUCAACCAAAAAAACAGAACCAACCAAACUAUACUAAAUUUCAUUUGAAAUCGGAGUUUAUGUUUUUUAAAACCAAACAAAAGUUUCAGUAAAAUCGUAUCAUCACCGAAUUAUGACAAACAAAUUUUCAUACUAAACCAAAACCAUUUACCAAACCGGAAAAAGAGAAACCGAACUAACUAAACGGGCGAUUGCCCAGCCCAGGUACAUAUCUACUCUAAGUAGUCUCGCCCAAUGCUUUUAUCGUCUCUACUUCUAAACCUUUUAUUCCCGCCAAAUUUGAACUAAUUAUUUAGUGGAACAUAUAUGGUUAUUAAAAGAUGGUUUACAUCAUUAUUCUUGCAGAUAUUUUAUUAGUAAAGACGACGCUAGACAGGUUCUCUCUAUCAUUCAACUAAUGUGCACCUUUUGGCCUUUUCUCCACUCACAUGCAUUGCACUAAAAAGUGAAAACUGUAAAGGGCUUUUUAACAUUCACUCUCUGAUAUCUACCUACCAGAUAGAGGACGUAUGAAUGAAGUUGGAAGCAUAAUCAAGACUCUGAAGUUUGUGUGAAGGGUCCACUCAGUUCAAAGAUCUUAAUAGAGCUCGUGGAAACAGUCAGCUCAAAGGAAAAAGGACUGAAGAAACCUCCCCAGAAACAAAUGUUGAUAGAUUUAUGAAGAACAACAACAUGAGCUCUCCUUAUCUCAGCCGUGCAACAGCGAACAAUCCUGUAACAGUGAAACGUAGCAGCAAUCAUCUCAAUGGGUUUGCACAGAGACCGGAAUCCACUUUCUUUGGCACUAGGAUGCAACCAGACAUAGAACUCAUGUCUUUGGUUGAUCCAAUGGACAUGUCUUCAAGAUUGAAGGACAACAACAAUGUCUUGGCCUGAGAGCAGAAACAACAGUGGCGUAUUGAGGUGGCGGUCAUAUGAAGCAAGCGAUGAGGAAGAUGAACCGAAUUGGGGCAUUGCACCGAUUAGUUCCGGUUCGAUGCCGGUUAAGGGAAGGAGGCGUAGAUUCGCUGCAAGAUGAAAUUAUACAAACCCUCGCGGGGAAAGAAAACAUUAGCAAUUGUGUUAAGCAUAGAGAUUGAGAGCAGGUGGUGUAAAGAGGGAGAAAUGGUAAGAGUGAGCUUUGUACUCGGAACAAAAAGUAUAAUUGAGUUCUACAUUUUUCUUUAAUUUCAUUUGUGGAGAGAUUUUUUGAAUAUCAUUUUUUUUUAUGAGGAUAGAGUAUCUUUUGAUUUUUAUGACAUAUUUCGAUACAUUGAAAUUAAAUCACAACAAUAUUAUUCAUAAUUUGUCUUUAACAUAAAUUGCUUGCAGGAAACUAAUUGAUUUUUUUUUGUUAUUAUUAUUAUCCAAUAAUCGUUCUUAUGAAACCUCCAAACAACAAAUCCUCCCAUUCAAAAUCCAAGGGGAGACAAAGUCAGUUCCGAGUUUCUAUAAAAAGUUAAAAACAAACC